UCGUAGUUCUACGUCAACCCCGCGGUAAUGUAAUAGACAUUACCCACCCCAAAUUUUUUUUUUAUGUUAUUUUUUGCGUGCCGAGACCGCAUCGCUCGUGCACAUAUUGCUAUUUUAAUUUUUUUUUUCUGUGUCGAGACCGUAUCGCUCGUACACAUUUCCACAUUUCUCUUUUUUUUUUGUCUCUUUCUGUGCCGAGACCGCAUCGCUCGUACACAUUUUUUUUUGCUUCGUGCUGAGACCGCAUCGCUCAUGCACUGUUUAUUUGCAACGACGCCAUGUUUAAUAUCAGAAAAAAAAGCUUUUUCUGGCUUCUCAGCUACACUUUUUCAAUAUUCUCCAUUGGUGCAUCUAUACUUAUUAAUGCAGCUCUGAAAAAAAGGAUGAUUGCACUCUACUUACCUACCGGCUCCGCCAUGUCGUAUCCAAAUUUUCGAGCUGCCGAAACAACGUCCUCCAUCCACAAAAAUAUUACACAGAAUGAAUCAUCCACGAUCACUUCCUGUUAAAAACUCCCCCGUCUCACAAUUGCGUUUUUCUUUCUCCCUUUCUCUACACGGAACCAAAACGCUAAAGUUAGCGUUUAAUGGAUCAAGGCUGCCAGAUGUUCUGAAUUGUUUUCAACAUAACACAAAUGUGCUGAACCCAUUAAUUAUAUUACGAAGUCGUUCAAAUUACUAUAUUUGCUUUUUUCUCUUAUCUCUUUUACUACAAUUUGCAGUGUAAUUUUGCGAUUAUUCUGGUAUUCUCUUCACAUAUGUCUACACGGUGAAAAUUGAAAAUACUAAUUAGCUUAGUGUUUAAUAUUUCCUUAACAUUUUUCAUGUUUAUCACUGUUAUCACGAUGCAUAUGAAACAUGCACUACAUGAUUAUAAUUUAUACUUUACAAAACCUUUUGCUAAUCUUGGAACUUGUAGAAAUGAAUUUAAUUUUCCUGACAAACCUGUAAGCAACGACACGUUUGCUGAUAGUUUUCCAUCGUUAAAAAUGCUUAAAAUAAAAUAAUGGCAAAAAUUGAUCGGGCAGCUGAAAUUGCAUGUAGAGUAAGUUCCAUCGGGGCGUUCGAAUGGUGGCAGGGGGAGACCUUCAAAGCCGCAUGUGACCAGUAGAAAGCCCAUUCCAGAGCGCGAUCGAAUCUGCGACAUUUCCAAAAUUACUUUGAUUCUGACAAGGAGUACCACACGAAGCAGACCGUUUUCCGUCGAAUUCUAGCAAACUUCUCUCCCUGGAUUACUGAAGUUGUUUCCUCAAAUGGUCGAUAAACGCAAGCAGUUAUUCAAAUUUCGAUUCAAAUGUACGUAAUUUACUCUCCAUCGGACCACAGAGUGAGUCAAGGACAUUCAAGAAAACAUGGACUGGAUGAUGUCGAAUCGAGAACACGGUGAGCAACACGAUGAACCAAUACGACUCGGGUGAAGCCAACUAAUGUUAUGGUUUUGCAUGUGAUCCUUAAUCAGAUGUGUAAUAGUUGGU